UACAGAGGGGGCAAGCGUUAUUCGGAAUUAUUGGGUUUAAAGGGUCCGUAGGCGGGCGGUUAAGUCAGUGGUGAAAGUCUGUAGCUCAACUAUAGAAUUGCCUUUGAUACUGAUCGUCUUGAGUUAUGGUGAAGUUGGCGGAAUAUGUAGUGUAGCGGUGAAAUGCAUAGAUAUUACAUAGAACACCGAUUGCGAAGGCAGCUGACUAACCAUAUACUGACGCUGAUGGACGAAAGCGUGGGGAGCGAACAGG
rnacentral:rRNA from 1 species